rnacentral:misc_RNA from 1 species
AAAGUCGUAACAAGGUCUCCGUUGGUGAACCAGCGGAGGGAUCAUUACAAGAAGCCGAAAGGCUGCUUCAAACCAUCGCGAACCCUUCCAACGUUGCCUCGGCGGGCAGGGGUCCUCCCCGGAGGUGCCCCGCGCGCGCCGGUCCGCGGGCCCCAAACUCUGUCUCUCUGUAGGAUCUCUGAGUAAAACACAAAUAAGUCAAAACUUUCAACAACGGAUCUCUUGGUUCUG